rnacentral:rRNA from 1 species
GACGAACGCUGGCGGCGUGCUUAACACAUGCAAGUCGAACGGAAAGGCCCCCAUCUUGGUGGGGGUGCUCGAGUGGCGAACGGGUGAGUAACACGUGGGUGAUCUGCCCUGUACUUCGGGAUAAGCUUGGGAAACUGGGUCUAAUACCGGAUAGGACCAUGGUUUAGUGUCUCAUGGUGGAAAGAUUAUUGUUUUGGUGCAGGAUGAGCUCGCGGCCUAUCAGCUUGUUGGUGGGGUAAUGGCCUACCAAGGCGUCGACGGGUAGCCGGCCUGAGAGGGUGGACGGCCACAGUGGGACUGAGAUACGGCCCAGACUCCUACGGGAGGCAGCAGUGGGGAAUAUUGCACAAUGGGCGCAAGCCUGAUGCAGCGACGCCGCGUGGGGGAUGACGGCCUUCGGGUUGUAAACUCCUUUCGUUAGGGACGAAGCCGCACUUUUUUUGGGUGUGGUGACGGUACCUUUGUUAAGAAGCACCGGCUAACUACGUG